UAUACAAAAUAAAAAGCCAUAACAUAACAAAAGUCAGACCUAAUAACAAGUACAAAAUUUUAAGUGGAAAAAAAAAAAAAAAAUAUCUAAUAAAAGUAAAUAACAAAAAAAUAGUAAACAAAAAAAAAAAGCCAUAACAUAACAAAUGUCAGACCUAAUAACAAGUACAAAAUUUUAGGUGAAAAAAAAAAAAAUAAAAAUAUCUAAUAAAAGUAAAUAACAAAAAAAUAGUGUACAAAAUAAAAAGCCAUAACAUAACAAAAGUAAUAAUAAAUAAGACAAAAAAAAAGUAGUAGUUAAUUUUUUUCCUAUUUGGACACAAGGAUAAUAAAAGUAUUUUAAAUGGCGUGCUGUACACUCAUUGGUGCAGUGAUUUUAGCUGCUCUGCGGGAGAAGAGACAACCGAUGACAUACGCCGAGCUGCUAAAACACAUCUCUUGCAAACUUCAUGUGCCCAAUUAUUUUAUCAAGAGCAGCUUCGGAGUUGCAUUGGAUAUGGCUCAUAGCCGAGGAUUUAUCUAUAAGGAGGGAUUUCGUUAUCGCCUGAGAACCGAUUUUCGUGGCAUACCUCUGAGACGCACAGUGGAGUAUGUCCUCAGUAAAAGGAACGAGGAACCGAAUCAGGGAAAUGCUGAACCAUGCAACAGCCAGCAUGCUGCUAUUGACGCUGCGGAAGGAUCUGUGUAUGAUCCCAGUGUGCUCUUUGUUGAAAAUCCACCAAUAAGCGUGGUAACUGUUUCUUCGGCGGAGACACUUCGUCCAAGCACCGAUUCUGUGAUUUAUAUCGGAACGACCUACAUCACACAAGCGGAUCGUCUUCAGAUGGGGUUUGGUAGGAAUCCCAAUUGUCCCGUAAAGCAGGAAUACUGCUACUGUGGACGUAUGUUCUAAAUGUCCCUAGCUUAGCUCCAGAACCGACCAGUACAGCCUAGCCUCGUUUUAUGGAUUCCUUUUAGGCGAAAUUUCAAUGUGUAUGUAAAUCAAGGCGUCAAUAAUUGCAGGUAACUUCAAGGUCCUAUCACCGAAAAACGGUAAUCUUCAAAAGGAGUUUAGCCCAAUUCUUCGGGGGACAGAAAUGGGUGCGACUCUAGAAAUUUGUUCAAUGGAAUGGAACAUUCAAUAUGUUUGCCAUUGAUUGUUCGAGAAAUCAACCUUGACCUUCUUCUACGUGGACUCAUACGGGGAGAAACUAUCUGGAAUCCAUGUAUUGUCAAAAGACACAAGGAUAUGUGUCUAUACUGCGGUCAAUUGGAUAAUGGGGGCAAAUCUGGUGACCUGAUCAUGACUUUCAACUUAAAUUCAGACAAGUCCGGAAUAGUUUUGAACUAAAACAAGUGCAGUUCGAAACGGGAAACGUAGAAGACGCUAAAGAUGUGGGAAGGACUUUCAUUCCUGAUAGUGCCUAAAAUAUCAAUUUCCAAAUCCACUGUGUUUAAUAUUGACCAAAAUAAAUGGCGUGUUUCAAUGUUUCAAAA